rnacentral:rRNA from 1 species
CGCGGCCUAUCAGCUUGUUGGUGGGGUAGUGGCUUACCAAGGCUUUGACGGGUAGCCGGCCUGAGAGGGUGACCGGCCACAUUGGGACUGAGAUACGGCCCAGACUCCUACGGGAGGCAGCAGUGGGGAAUAUUGCACAAUGGGCGGAAGCCUGAUGCAGCAACGCCGCGUGCGGGAUGACGGCCUUCGGGUUGUAAACCGCUUUCGCCUGUGACGAAGCGUGAGUGACGGUAAUGGGUAAAGAAGCACCGGCUAACUACGUGCCAGCAGCCGCGGUGAUACGUAGGGUGCGAGCGUUGUCCGGAUUUAUUGGGCGUAAAGGGCUCGUAGGUGGUUGAUCGCGUCGGAAGUGUAAUCUUGGGGCUUAACCCUGAGCGUGCUUUCGAUACGGGUUGACUUGAGGAAGGUAGGGGAGAAUGGAAUUCCUGGUGGAGCGGUGGAAUGCGCAGAUAUCAGGAGGAACACCAGCGGCGAAGGCGGUUCUCUGGGCCUUUCCUGACGCUGAGGAGCGAAAGCGUGGGGAGCGAACAGGCUUAGAUACCCUGGUAGUCCACGCCGUAAACGGUGGGUACUAGGUGUGGGGUCCAUUCCACGGGUUCCGUGCCGUAGCUAACGCUUUAAGUACCCCGCCUGGGGAGUACGG